UUAAGCAUAUCAAUAAGCGGAGGAAAAGAAACCAACAGGGAUUGCCUCAGUAACGGCGAGUGAAGCGGCAAUAGCUCAAAUUUGAAAUCUGCUCUUUUAGAGUCGAAUUGUAAUUUGUAGAGGAUGCUUCGGCUUACGUUUCGGUCUAAGUUCCUUGGAACAGGACGUCACAGAGGGUGAGAAUCCCGUUUGUGGCCGAGACUUCCGCCAUGUGAAGCUCCUUCGACGAGUCGAGUUGUUUGGGAAUGCAGCUCUAAAUGGGAGGUAUAUUUCUUCUAAAGCUAAAUACCGGCCAGAGACCGAUAGCGCACAAGUAGAGUGAUCGAAAGAUGAAAAGCACUUUGGAAAGAGAGUUAAAAAGUACGUGAAAUUGUUGAAAGGGAAGCGCUUGCGACCAGACUUGCCCGCGGAUGCUCAACCGGUCCUUCGGCCGGUGCACUCUUCCGCGGUCAGGCCAGCAUCAGUUCGAGUAGCCGGAUAAAGGCAUUGGGAAUGUGGCUCUCUUCGGGGAGUGUUAUAGCCCUUUGUGCAAUAUGGCUCAUUUGGACUGAGGCCCGCGCUUCGGCUAGGAUGCUGGCGUAAUGGUCGUAAGCGGCCCGUCUUG
rnacentral:rRNA from 1 species